CAAAAAUAUUUGAAAAAUUUGGAACGCCGCAUAUUUUACAUACGGACGGAAUCGAGAGCUUUCGAAUUGUUCUGUUUUCUGUAUGGUCAACUUUUCUGGAGAAGCAAGCUGCAUGAUACAGGUUUAUCAUCAGUCAUUUGACUAUGGCCAUGCUGGAGCACCACCUUAAAGGGUUUUAGUUGAAGAAAUCGAUCCCAGGAUUUAUUCUUUGUAAGCCUAGUACUUAUUCUAUUAGUCUCUUUUGCUGAACUG